GAUGAAGAACGUAGCGAAGUGCGAUAUGUAAUGUGAAUUGCAGAAUUCCGUGAAUCAUCGAAUCUUUGAACGCAAAUUGCACUUUCUGGUAUUCCGGAAAGUAUGCCUGUUUGAGGGUCAGUUAAAUAAAAAUCGGUGUUGUUGCUGCUUUUCGUGGUGACGCAUCGGAAUUGGGUCGUCUUACCUUCGGUUAAGUGACUUAAAAUUUUUUAUGAUUUUUGAACGUAUUUAAAUUUUUUUGUACGUUUGAGAUAUCGAAUGUUUAUUAGGUUCGGUCAUCCUCAUGACUCGCGCCUAUAAUUUUUCAUUAAAUGACCUCAAAUCAGGUAAGAAUACCCGCUGAACUUAAGCAUAUCAAUAAGCGGAGGA
rnacentral:misc_RNA from 1 species